rnacentral:rRNA from 1 species
UACGUAGGGGGCAAGCGUUGUCCGGAAUCAUUGGGCGUAAAGAGCGUGUAGGUGGACUGGAAGGUCUGGUGUGAAAGCCCGGGGCUCAACCCCGGAGGGUCACUGGAAACCAACAGUCUUGAGUCUGGAAGAGGAGAGUGGAAUUCCUGGUGUAGCGGUGGAAUGCGCAGAUAUCAGGAGGAACACCAAUGGCGAAGGCAGCUCUCUGGUACAUGACUGACACUGAGACGCGAAAGCGUGGGGAGCGAACAGG